AACGUAGGGGGCAAGCGUUGUUCGGAAUUACUGGGCGUAAAGGGCGCGUAGGCGGCCUGUUAAGUCGGACGUGAAAUCCCCGGGCUCAACCCGGGAACUGCGUCCGAUACUGGCAGGCUUGAAUCCGGGAGAGGGAUGUAGAAUUCCAGGUGUAGCGGUGAAAUGCGUAGAUAUCUGGAGGAACACCGGUGGCGAAGGCGGCAUCCUGGACCGGCAUUGACGCUGAGGCGCGAAAGCCAGGGGAGCAAACGGG
rnacentral:rRNA from 1 species